GAGGUGGUAUCGGUCGCGAGGGACCAGUCCGGCGGGGGAGGGGAAGCAGUGGUGACGGCCGCGAGGGACCAGUCCGACGGGAGGGGAAGCAGUGGUCGCACCGGCGAGAGAGUGUGGGGUAUCCAGUUUCCAACUUAAAAUAGGUGGCGACUACCACGACGACCCGCUCCUCCGCGACCUACGCGCACGCGGCCGUGACCUAGGCGCACGCGGCCGCGACCUAGACGAGGUAGAUCGAGGUUGCUGGAAUGGGGCACCGAGGCCCUGUCCUUCCGAUGGGGCUGCUGUAUGUCGUUGACCUGAGAUACUUGUCUCUCCUCCUACUUCUGUGGGUCGGUACCUAAAAAUCAUCGUGAGUGAGUUCCUUUUUCUCUGGAGUUGUGCGGUUACCUACGUCGAUCGGAGGUUGAGUGGUGCGUGGACGUGGUUGAACUACAUCCCUCUCCUCCUCACUCCGAAGAGAGUGCCCUACUGCGGGUCGGUACCCCGUCGUCGUUAGGUUCGAUCAAUUACAUGGGAGUCGCCGGCACGAACUAUCCUCCCCGGUCCCUUCACGAAAUUCAGUAAGGUUCUUACACUCUGUUACAGUUCAGACAUUCCGUUCAGUUCCCCUAGGACACC
rnacentral:rRNA from 1 species